AACGCACAUUGCACCUUUUGGUAUUCCGAAAGGUAUGCUUGUUCGAGCGUCGUUUAUACUAUAUCUAUUUAGUUGUUAAUUCAACUAAUUAAUUAGAUGUCUUGAGUUGCUUUCUCUAUCAAUCAUUGACUGAGACACUCCAAAACGAUUGAGCGAUCUUGACUAGAUUUAAUUGACGCAUUAAAAUAACUAUCGUCAGUAGAAGAAGUCAAAUGAUCUGCCAUAUUUAAACCUGUCUGAAUUAAUUAAUUUUUAACUCAGUUCAUACCUUAAAUAUCGACCUCGAAUCAAGUAGGAUUACCCGCUGAACUUAA
rnacentral:misc_RNA from 1 species